rnacentral:rRNA from 1 species
ACGAUGUCGACUUGGAGGUUGUGCCCUUGAGGCGUGGCUUCCGGAGCUAACGCGUUAAGUCGACCGCCUGGGGAGUACGGCCGCAAGGUUAAAACUCAAAUGAAUUGACGGGGGCCCGCACAAGCGGUGGAGCAUGUGGUUUAAUUCGAUGCAACGCGAAGAACCUUACCUGGUCUUGACAUCCACGGAAGUUUUCAGAGAUGAGAAUGUGCCUUCGGGAACCGUGAGACAGGUGCUGCAUGGCUGUCGUCAGCUCGUGUUGUGAAAUGUUGGGUUAAGUCCCGCAACGAGCGCAACCCUUAUCCUUUGUUGCCAGCGGUCCGGCCGGGAACUCAAAGGAGACUGCCAGUGAUAAACUGGAGGAAGGUGGGGAUGACGUCAAGUCAUCAUGGCCCUUACGACCAGGGCUACACACGUGCUACAAUGGCGCAUACAAAGAGAAGCGACCUCGCGAGAGCAAGCGGACCUCAUAAAGUGCGUCGUAGUCCGGAUUGGAGUCUGCAACUCGACUCCAUGAAGUCGGAAUCGCUAGUAAUCGUGGAUCAGAAUGCCACGGUGAAUACGUUCCCGGGCCUUGUACACACCGCCCGUCACACCAUGGGAGUGGGUUGCAAAAGAAGUAGGUAGCUUAACCUUCGGGAGGGCGCUUACCACUUUGUGAUUCAUGACUGGGGUGAAGUCGAAAAGGGGGAACCC